CAAAGCCCCGGAGACAUUCUCCCCUGAGCCUGGGAGGGGACCGGGAUUUCACAGGAGCCAGGGGUGGUCCAUCAUGAGACCCGACUCCAGCUGAGACGUGUGGGUCCCAGAGUUGGCCUCACGGCCUCUCCUCCCGUCUGCUUCCAGCUCUCUGGGAUGAUCAUUUGUGGAGGGAUGCUCGCCAUCUGUGCUGUUAUCACAGUCUUUGCGACCAUAAAUGCUUCCAUUCAGGUGAGUUGUGGCCCUCCUGAGUGGGUGGAGAGACCCCAGCUAGGUGAACUCUAGAGGGCCUUCAGUGCCUCACUCCCUGCCCAGGGGCUGGAGGGCUCUGGUGGCCCAAGGGCCGAGCACCUGCCUGUCUCCUUUCAUCUCAUUGUGUUUUUCAGGUGAAGGUGGAUGUCAACAAUUACUUUGGAGGAGGCAGGUCCUACUCCAAGCCCCCUAGUCGCAAGAAGUGAGAUCCAGCAUGCAGAUCAAAGGACCACCCCCCUUCUCUGCUUUCAUAAUCUGAUUCCUUCCUUUCCAGACAAGCUGAGGGCUUGUCUGCUCACACCCUGCACUGCACCCUUCAAUUCAGCCUGCUGCAUCCUGCUCUUCUUCUGAGAGGCAGAGGGGUUUUCCGUGUAUUUUAGCCCCAGGCUCCUCCCUGAGGCGCGUGCUCCUGUGUGCUUGUGUGUGGACAUCCUCUCACAGGCUUCUCGCAAACCACCACCUGCACUCCUCUGCCUUGGGUUUAUAGGUGAGGAGGAAAAUAUCCAGGCACCCAUCUUCUUCUUUCAAUCAUCCAUUCAUUAAUAAAUUUGGAUUGAGCAUCUGUCCGUUUGAAUGUUGUUCUGGCAUCAGUGGUAACAGC
rnacentral:lncRNA from 1 species